rnacentral:rRNA from 1 species
UACGAAGGGGGGCUAGCGUUGUUCGGAAUCACUGGGCGUAAAGGGCGCGUAGGCGGCUUUAUAAGUCGGGGGUGAAAGCCUGUGGCUCAACCACAGAAUUGCCUUCGAUACUGUAGAGCUUGAGACCGGAAGAGGUAAGUGGAACUGCGAGUGUAGAGGUGAAAUUCGUAGAUAUUCGCAAGAACACCAGUGGCGAAGGCGGCUUACUGGUCCGGUUCUGACGCUGAGGCGCGAAAAGCGUGGGGGAGCAAACAGG